CUCCUACCAACCUAGCAGUUCAAAAGCACUCCAAAAAGUGCAAGUAGAUAAAUAGGUACCACUCCGUCGGGAAGGUAAGCGGCGUUUCCGUGUGCUGCUCUGGUUUCGGUGUUCCAUUGUGCCAGAAGCAGCUUAGUCAUGCGGGCCACAUGUUCCGGAAAAACUGUCCGCGGACAAACGCUGGCUCCCUUGGCCUGUAAAGUGAGAUGAGCGCCUCUACCCCAGAGUCAUCUGCAACUGGACUUUACUGUCAGGGGUCCUUUACCUUUUUUUUAUGACACAGUUAAAAUAUCUCUGUUUAUAGAAAAUGAAACUAGAGAUCGCUGAGGAGCAGAAACAACAGUACAAAGGACUGACCCACUCAUUGAAUUAAUUGAUGGAUUAAUUGUACAACCCCAGGGGGAGGUGAGCCUUUUUUAUUCUCUUUUGAUAUAUAUGUAUUUGCAGUGUUACCUGGUAAACCUUCCCUGAAAGGUAACAGUUUGAAAUACGCAAGUGGAUUUGAAAAAACACUGCUGCUAUCUCCUCAGUGGAAGGAAGGAAAAUAUUCUGGACUGGAGCUACUUUGUUUUUGCAGAGGUACCAGCAUGUUGGGAGAUGGUGCGAGACUACGGAAGCGAAUUCUGGAUGGCUGCCUGGAGCUAAUGGUGUCUUUUUGUCUGGGACUGUGGCGUAUUUUGGCUCUUGUUGGCAGAAAUCAAAAAUGGAAUUGCUGGAAUGUGGACAACAGGGGAAAAUAUUUCACACAGAACUAUGAAGACAAAAGUUUGAACAGACUAGUGGUUGUAAACAUAAAUGAAAAUUAAGCGAAGGAUUAACAUCGGAAUGGUUUAUUGACUAAUUAAGAAAUGCAAUGUGAUAUUAGAUUAUUAGCACUCCAUGAAAUUCAGAGCUUGGGAAGCCACCCAAAGAUACAGAAUUUGGCAUUUAUACUUGGCUUUUUGAUUGUAUUGUAAUUUGGAAUGUUUUAAUGUGGUUCUUUUUGGAUUAUUAAAAUGGAAAACUUAAUAAAUAUUAUAUAAAUACAUAAAUAAAUAAGUGGAAAUGAAGCAGCUGGUUGCCAUAAUGAAAUUAUGAUGACACUGUCACUCUGUAGUGGCAGUGCUGAAGUCAUAAGUCAGAUUCAAGGGGGAAUUUCCCCCAAGGCCCUGCCUACCAUUUAACAGUGACCUAAGGUUUUCCAGUAAAACAUGAAAUGGUGCACACACUACAUCUUGUUUGUGUGCUUAGUUCAUAACUUUUCUCUUAGUUAAAUAAAUAAAAAUAAUAUUUUAUUACUUAUCCCCAGCUACUAUGGGCGGCUUCCAGCAAGAUAUAUAUAAAAAAUGUCAAACAUAAAAAAACUUCCUGAUACAGGCUGCCUUCAGGUAUCUUCUAAAAGUUCUGUAGUUCUUUAUCUUCUUGACAUCUGAUGGGAGGGCGUAUCACAGGGCAGGCGCCGCCAGUGAGGAGGUCCUCUGCCUGGUUUCCUUUAACCGCACUUCUUGAAGUGAGGGAACCACCAGAAGGCCCCCGGAGUUGUCCGGGCUGAACGAUGGGGGUGGAGACGCUCCUUCAGGUAUACUGGGCUUAGGCCAUUUAGGGCUUUAAAGGUCAGCACCAACACUUUUAAUUGUGCUUGGCAACAUACUAGGAGCCUUUAGGACUGGUGCUAUAUGGUUCGGGGGGCACUCCCAGUCAGCAGUCUAGCUGCUGCAUUCUGGAUUAGUUGUAAUUUCUGAGUUACCUUCAAAGGUAGCCCCACGUAGAUUGCAUGGCAGUAGUCCAAACGGGAGAUAACGCUUGCCAUCCUAAGAGCUGUGCUUCCGUCUUCCAGUACUAUGUGGUGAACGUGGACUAUGACAAGCUGAAAAAAGAGUGCCCAGAUUUCUGAAGAGCAAAUGUUCUCCCUCUACAAGCUGCACAAGAUGAAGAGGUUUAGGUCUUCCAGAAGCCAUCUGCACAACUCAUACGCUUAAAUCAUCCAGGAAAUCUUAAAACUGUCUGCACAAGGCGCUUAAAUCAGGCAUGUCCAAAGUCUGUGUCGGGGGCCUAGUCCAGUCGGUUUAAUCCAGCCCCUGUGGCAGUUUAUUUCCUGGGGUAAAAUCCUAAAAAAACCUCAACAACUUCAAUCCUAAAAAAAGGAAAAAGGUUAACAACUUUGGUCGGCCCUUUGGUCAGCCCUCACGGCCCUUCACUUCAUCAAAUCUGGCCCUCUUUGAAAAAAGUUUGGACAGCACUGAAGAGUUAAAGUCAAAGAGUUCAAGAGAGGCAGAGAAGAGGGUGCUGGAUGUCAGGAGCUGCAUUCUCUCCCGUGUGCGGCAGAGUGUGUGUGACUACUGGAUCACAAGCUCUGUGUGUUGACAUUCCAUUCUUUGAAAGCGUGGAAACAGAAGGAACUGUGUGCAACCUCCGUCUUCUGUAUUCUUUGUUCUGUUCUGUUGUUGUUCUCUCUCGGAUGACCCCCCCUAAUCCGCUUCCACUGGGAAAGAGGUGUGGUUUAAGCACCCCGGUCACCCACCCCUUCCCAUUGUGCCCUGACCCUCUCCAUGCAAGGAUUCAGGUGAGUACAUGCCUUGGGGCGCAGCAAGCUUUGGGGGGCUGGGGGGAGAAUGCAAUGCCAGUGGGAUGAUGGAGAGGGAGACAGCAGGCAGGGAAACUGCUGGGCAGGUGGGGGAGGGAGAGAACCCCCCCCCCAAAUGAUCAUUUGUACAUUUGACUAGUGUUGUGUGGAGGGAAAUGCAGCCCCUGGGCUGAAAAAUGUCCCCCUCCUAUGUUUGAAAUUCUAGAAUAAGUAACUGCCUCUUUCCCCUCAGCUGCUAUGUCUAUUUGUGACAUCACAGGAGACCAUACAUAGACAGGGCUGGGGAAACUAGGCCUCAAGGGGGGCAUUUAUUAAUAAAGAAAUGAUGACUGAGGACCUCCCCCUUGUGACACCCAUGGCACCCUCAAAAACAAAGACCCCCCGACCCCCCUCCCAUUUUUAAAAAGUUGACCCCAAAUCUGUUAGUUUUUGCAGUGCUGCAAGACUGUUUGUUUUGGCAGUUGAGGGAUUGGUAUUAUUUAUUUUGCCCUUUGUGAGACAUAAACUGGGUCCUUCGAGUUAAGGUCUCUGGAGCCUUUUAAAUAAAGUGAUCUGGACAAAAUAGGUGAAUUAAGAAACCUUUUUUUAUUAGGCACACUUGCAAGUGGGGUAUUCCAAGAUCAGGUACAUCUUCAUCAGGAAAACCACACCUUAAAAAGUUGCUUGUCCAUCCGCAAGUCCCUCCUUCCACGCCCACAAGAAGGGGCGUGCCAAUUUACAGAAGUAUCGCGUCCGCCUCAUUAACAUUUUACCAUUCCACUUCCCAUGUUAAUCAUAAUACAAUACAAUACAAUAUAAUACAAUCCAAAUACUUUUAUUGGCAUUUUAAGUUAAGACAUUUCAAAAUGGCAUCAGAUGCAAAGUCUUUCUUCUUCCUGUUUCCGAGAGAUUUGAGUGGGGAAAUCCUUUCGAUUCCUCAAUAAUAAGAGGCAGUGGGGUGAGGGAGGCAAGGGCCACAUCCACACCAUUUAAAGCGCUAUGAAGCCGCUUUAAACACUCAUGGCUUCUUCCCCAAAGAAUCUGGGAGCUAUAGUUUGAAAAGGGUGCAGAGAGCUGUUAGGAGACAGCCCUGCUCCCCUCCCAGAGUUCCCUGCCAAGAAGGGAACUCUACUCCUACCCCUACCCCUGACGCUAACCCUAACUCUAAUGCUAACCCUUAACACUUAACUAGAGCUACAACUCCCAGAGUUCCCUGGCAAGAAGGGAACCCUAACCCUACACCUGACGCUAACCCUAACUCUAACCCUUAACUAUAGCUACAAUUCCCAGAGUUCCCUGGCAAGAAGGGAACCCCUACCCCUACCCCUAACCCCUACCCUAAACGUAACCCCCCUAGCAAAUCUCCGUCCCCUUAACCACCUACAGUUCCCAGAAUCCCUGAGGAGAAGCCAUUCCUGUUCAAAGCGUCUUCAUAGCACUUCCAAUGGUGCGCCUAAUGUGGCCCUCAUUUUCUUCUCUCUCCCCACUGCCCCAUCACUUGCAAUGCAGCAGAUGUCCGCCUGCAGUCUCCCUUCAAAGCUCCUUCGCUCAGGUCUGGCCACGGCCUUGUCCAUAGCUCACUGUCAGUUUUUCAGGUUCAUUUCUCCAAUUUAAAUAGGGACGUCCUGCGGUUCUCUUCAUGACUUUGAAGGCUGGACUUGGGGAAAACCUCACCGGCUCCAGACAUCCCUGUAAGGCAAAGGCAAACAGGUGAGUGGGAUGGCCCCCAUCCGCAGCAUCCCCCCCCCGACUCAUCCUCUGUUUGGCUGCCUGUUCACAAACAAGGCUUCCAAACCAGUUUGCAUCCAUCUCAGCCAGCCUAGCCUCGUGGCAUCCACUAGCCUGAAUGAAAACUCCUCACACCAUCCACCAGCUGCAGCCUCGCCAGGUCCAUUGCCAGACAUCAACUAGCUUCAGAGCUGAAUAUCAGUCGCCUUCAAGUAGCGAUCCCACCAGCAAGUAAACUUUGUACUUGCCUUCUCCUUGCUCCACAGCAUCCCAGCACCGGGCCAUUGCCUCCUUCCGCUUGCCAGCUUGCCAUCACAUGGCAGGAGACCACCAGGGAUGAGUGCCAGUGAGCUGCCCAUUUCUCUCUGGGGAGGGCAACUGCCUUGGCCCACAUUUAUACCCGCUCAGGUGCCAAAUGGUUUUGUGACAUCCCAGUCAACCCACCAACAAUGGCAGCAGCUGGGGAGGCAUCACCCCCACCCCCUCUGCCCUCACAAUGGUAAGCGCAGCUCAGCAGCCAAAACACACACACCACAAACCCAAGUUGUGCCUUAUCUGUGAAGGCCACACCAGAAACCCAAGGGGUCAGAAGGGGAACAUUUUUCAGCCCUGAGGUUGCAUUUCCCUCCACACAACACUAGUCAAAUGCACAAAUGAACAGAGCAAUGAAAGCAAGCCUUAUCUUUGCACAGGAAGCUGUUCAAGGAAUGACAUGCAGAAAGUUAGUAUCUCAGGAAAAAAGCACUUUUCAUCAAUCAAUCAAUCAUUAAUUGCAUUUGACUAAAAGCCAUUACAAUUGUAGUUACAAAAGCACCAAACCCAAUGACCCAAACCAUAGCUCCCGGACUCCUUGGGGGAAGAAGCCAGGUGGAUGCCAUGUGACCUCAGUGUUGUGUCAAGUGAUGGCUGCAUACUACCUCCAGGUUCAAAGGCGGCAUAUUUCUGUAUAUCAGUUCCUGAGAAUCAUGAGGGAUGUUGUGGUCAGAUUCUAGGCAGUUUUUGCACAGGCAUCUGUGAGAACGUGAUGCUGAACUUGGGCCACUGGCCUGAUCCAGGCAGCUUUCUUAUGUUACAAAGGAAGACCUCCAAGAAAGAGCCUUGCAGCACUGUUGCACCCAUGUCUACUUGGAAGUAAGUCCUACUGAAUUCACUGGGGCUUCCUCCCAUGUAGGUGGGAUUGUAGCCUUUGCCAUUUUGGGGGAGAGCUGCCUGUGGUGCCAAGUAAAAAUAAGAAUAAAUGACUAAAACAAAAUAAGAAUAAAUGACUAAAACAGAAUCCUUGUGUAUGAAAAUCACAAUCUGCCAGUGAAACGGUCCUCUUCUGAUCUCAUGACAGUGGAAAGGCACACCAGCCAGUGACCCCUUGGAAGGCAUGGCUGAGGAGUCAGACUCUUAAUUCAGGGACACUGAGAACCUAGAAUGUUUUUGUUCCUUCCCGGGAAAGGGAGAAAUGGUUACCAAAUAAAAAUAAAUUACCAAAUAAAAAUAAAUUGGAAAAAAGAUACUCAAAGAAACAGCCAGUACAUAGUUCACAUAAAAGAUGCAGAGAAAAAGUGAAAUGCCACAGUGCUGGAAUGGUUUUAAAAUUUCUGAUUUUGGAGUGCAUUAUGUGCAGUGACGCAGCUUCAUGUUCCAGAACCGGGUGGCGGAGAGCAGGUGGGUGGGUGGCUGGUGCGUGCCCAGGGGGUGUUGCACCCAGCAUGGGGGGGGCAGCCACAAUGGCACCCCACCGGGAUCGCGCUGCCGGGGGUGGUGCACUCCCCUGCAACCCUCUUCCUCCACCAGUGAUUAGGUGACUUUCUGAAACUUGCAGCAUUUCUUGGAGUGCUACAUUAAAAGUAUUCUCUUGGAAUUCUCCCUUUGUAGUAUCCAAACUUUUUUUCAAAGAGGGCCAGAUUUGAUGAAGUGAAGGACUGUGUGGGUUGACAAAAGUACCAACCAAAGUUGUUAACCUUUUUUUUUAGGAUUGAAGAAGUUGUUGAGCUUUUUUUGGAUUGAAAUUGUUGAGGUUUUUUAGGAUUUCCCCCCAGGAAAUAAAUUGUCACAGGGGUUGACCGGUGGACCAGAUUAGCUCCCCAAAAUGGACUUCGGAUAUGCCUGCUCUAAGCAAAUCAGAAUGAAUGCUCAAUAAAGACUGGACAUAAUCUAACAGCUGUGUAACCUUUGUGCAAGCAUAUCAGAAUGAAUGCUGAAUAUGCAGGUCUUUCUGCAGGGCUCAAAUAUACUUGUAUAGGGUUGGGGGAAGCAAGGGAUCUUUUUGUACUUUUGGUAAUAUAAUCAGGAAGUGAAAGGAUCCAGCUUGGCAUGUGCUGUGAUACAAAGAAUCAGCUGAGAGCCACUUCCAAUUAGAAUAGAUUAUGGGGUAGAUGGAUGAGUGGCCUGAUAAAGCAGACCCAUAUGUUCCAGGUGUGGGGGAAGAACUCAAGUGAUUGAUUUCAAAUGGAAACAAGAAGUGUGGGCUCUAUGCCGAAGAACCCCUUUAAGAUGGGCAGAGAUUGAGCUCUCCUUCUUGCAUGGUAGCCAAUUCCCUAAAAUGUGGGAGGCCAUCACUGUUGCUAGCCUCAAUUUUCCCAGUGAGAAAGAAGGUCACUGAUAUCAAGUGAGAUGACUCUAUAACACAGUGUUGCUUUGACAAAUAAUAACAGGGGCAGCCUGUAGAAGACUGGCUGGGCGUAGACCUUUGAAGACUUCUAGCAAGAUGGUGUUUCUGGUUUGGUCCAGCAGAAUGGUUUUCAUACCUCUUCUGUGGUCUCCUAUCUUCAAUGCAACUCUUCCUCUGUCACCCUCCCCACCACCACCACCCAUACGGGAGUCCAUCUUCACUUCUUAG